GGACCCAUAGCUCAGCGGUAGAGCAUCUGAUUCCAGUUAAAUGGUAUACUCACUGUAUCCAGAAGGUCAUCCGUUCAAAUCGGGUUGGGUUCA